rnacentral:rRNA from 1 species
UACGUAGGAGACGAGCGUUGUCCGGAGUUACUGGGCUUAAAGGGCGCGUAGGCGGGCAUUCUAGUCUGUGGUGAAAUCCGGCAGCUUAACUGUCGAACUGCCGUGGAUACUGGAUGUCUCGAGGGAGGUAGGGGCGUGCGGAACUAAUGGUGGAGCGGUGAAAUGCGUAGAGAUCGGGAGGAGGCCGGUGGCGAAGGCGG